rnacentral:rRNA from 1 species
GAUGAACGCUGGCGGCGUGCCUAAUACAUGCAAGUCGAACGCACAGCGAAAGGUGCUUGCACCUUUCAAGUGAGUGGCGAACGGGUGAGUAACACGUGGAUAACCUACCACAAGGUUGGGGAUAACACUCGGAAACAGAUGCUAAUACCGAAUAAAACUUAGUAUCGCAUGAUACCAGGUUAAAAGGCGCUACGGCGUCACCUAGAGAUGGAUCCGCGGUGCAUUAGUUAGUUGGUGGGGUAAAGGCUUACCAAGACAAUGAUGCAUAGCCGAGUUGAGAGACUGAUCGGCCACAUUGGGACUGAGACACGGCCCAAACUCCUACGGGAGGCUGCAGUAGGGAAUCUUCCACAAUGGGCGAAAGCCUGAUGGAGCAACGCCGCGUGUGUGAUGAAGGCUUUCGGGUCGUAAAGCACUGUUGUAUGGGAAGAACAGCUAGAGUAGGGAAUGACUUUAGUUUGACGGUACCAUACCAGAAAGGGACGGCUAAAUACGUGCCAGCAGCCGCGGUAAUACGUAUGUCCCGAGCGUUAUCCGGAUUUAUUGGGCGUAAAGCGAGCGCAGACGGUUAAUUAAGUCUGAUGUGAAAGCCCGGAGCUCAACUCCGGAAAGGCAUUGGAAACUGGUUAACUUGAGUGCAGUAGAGGUAAGUGGAACUCCAUGUGUAGCGGUGGAAUGCGUAGAUAUAUGGAAGAACACCAGCGGCGAAGGCGGCUUACUGGACUGUAACUGACGUUGAGGCUCGAAAGUGUGGGUAGCAAACAGGAUUAGAUACCCUGGUAGUCCACACCGUAAACGAUGAACACUAGGUGUUAGGAGGUUUCCGCCUCUUAGUGCCGAAGCUAACGCAUUAAGUGUUCCGCCUGGGGAGUACGACCGCAAGGUUGAAACUCAAAGGAAUUGACGGGGACCCGCACAAGCGGUGGAGCAUGUGGUUUAAUUCGAAGCAACGCGAGGAACCUUACCAGGUCUUGACAUCCUUUGAAGCUUUUAGAGAUAGAAGUGUUCUCUUCGGAGACAAAGUGACAGGUGGUGCAUGGUCGUCGUCAGCUCGUGUCGUGAGAUGUUGGGUUAAGUCCCGCAACGAGCGCAACCCUUAUUGUUAGUUGCCAGCAUUCAGAUGGGCACUCUAGCGAGACUGCCGGUGACAAACCGGAGGAAGGCGGGGACGACGUCAGAUCAUCAUGCCCCUUAUGACCUGGGCUACACACGUGCUACAAUGGCGUAUACAACGAGUUGCCAACCUGUGAAGGUGAGCUAAUCUCUUAAAGUACGUCUCAGUUCGGACUGCAGUCUGCAACUCGACUGCACGAAGUCGGAAUCGCUAGUAAUCGCGGAUCAGCACGCCGCGGUGAAUACGUUCCCGGGUCU